rnacentral:lncRNA from 1 species
UUUGACUUUUAAUAACCAAUUUGAUGUUCAAUAAUUAACAUCAACAUUUCACAUAAUCAUAAUAAUGUGCAAUAAUAUAUUAAGCCAAACAGGACCUCUCAAGAAGAGAAAGAUUGGGCGAACUGGAACAAAACACAGGCUAUAUACUGGUACAAAAUAUACUAGUAAUUAUACAAUUUGAUCAUAAUAAUCCUACAAAAUAUACUGCUAGUUUGAUCUUACAGAUUGCAGCCACAAAAUUCACUAAUUACACGGUUUGAUCUAAACUAUUUGGCUGCUUCAUCUGUCAAAUUCACUAUUUCAAGAUGACUACUUCCAACCCUUCAUGAUCCUAUCAAAGCACCAUAAAAAUUCAGUCAACAUUAAUUUAAUAUAUUAGUCAUGAGUAGAACAAGACACACCAAUUAAAACUUACUUAUUAGGAGAUUGAGAAGGCAAUACUUCCAUUUUUCUCUUUUUGUUUGGACAGUUUCGUGAGUCAUGAUUAGUUCCACCACAAUCUGGAACAUGACAACGACGAGGCUUCUUGGCAGCUUCAACCCCUCCUUUUGGUCUUGAUCCUUUUGGCCGACCUUUUGUUUUUGAAACAACAGGAUUUUCAACGUCGUAGUCGUCAUUGUUGGAAACAUC